rnacentral:rRNA from 1 species
CCUACGGGUGGCAGCAGUGAGGAAUAUUGGUCAAUGGGCGCAAGCCUGAACCAGCCAAGUCGCGUGAGGGAAGACGGCCCUACGGGUUGUAAACCUCUUUUGCCGGGGAGCAAGCCUGAGCACGUGUGCCCAGGCGGAGAGUACCCGGAGGAAAAGCAUCGGCUAACUCCGUGCCAGCAGCCGCGGUAAUACGGAGGAUGCGAGCGUUAUCCGGAUUUAUUGGGUGUAAAGGGUGGGCAGGCGGGCUGUUAAGUCGGCGGUAAAAAUUCAGUGCUAAACCCUGUCGAGCCGUCGGAACGGGCAGCCUUGAGUGUGCGAGAAGUAUGCGGAAUGCGUGGUGUAGCGGUGAAAUGCAUAGAUAGCACGCAGAACGCCGAUUGCGAAGGCAGCAUACCGGCGCCCGACUGACGCUGAGGCACGAAAGCGUGGGGAGCGAACAGGAUUAGAUACCCUUGUAGUC